rnacentral:rRNA from 1 species
CGUGGGUAUCUACCCAGUGGUAAGGAAUAACUCAGGGAAACCUGGGCUAAUACCUUAUAAGCCCUCAGGGGGAAAGAUUUAUCGCCAUUGGAUGAGCCCGCGUCGGAUUAGCUAGUUGGUAGGGUAAAAGCCUACCAAGGCGACGAUCCGUAGCUGGUCUGAGAGGAUGAUCAGCCACACUGGGACUGAGACACGGCCCAGACUCCUACGGGAGGCAGCAGUGGGGAAUAUUGGACAAUGGGCGCAAGCCUGAUCCAGCCAUGCCGCGUGAGUGAUGAAGGCCUUAGGGUUGUAAAACUCUUUCACCGGUGAAGAUAAUGACGGUAGCCGGAGAAGAAGCCCCGGCUAACUCCGUGCCAGCAGCCGCGGUAAUACGGAGGGGGCUAGCGUUGUUCGGAAUUACUGGGCGUAAAGCGCGCGUAGGCGGACUGGUCAGUUGGGGGUGAAAUCCCAAGGCUCAACCUUGGAACUGCCUUCAAAACUGCCAGUCUUGAGUCCGGGAGAGGUGAGUGGAAUUCCUAGUGUAGAGGUGAAAUUCGUAGAUAUUAGGAAGAACACCAGUGGCGAAGGCGGCUCACUGGCCCGGUACUGACGCUGAGGUGC